rfam:Haemonchus placei strain MHpl1 genome assembly, scaffold: HPLM_scaffold0000402
GGUGCAAACUUGAAGUAGAGUACAUUAGUAUGGUCAGCUGAUCCUAACAAUCUACUCUACUUCAAGUUUGGGCCC